GCCUGAGAUUAAUUGCAGCUAAAAAUGAUAAUUCAUAUUGUUAAUAGUACACUGCCUGCGGUCAGGUUUGUCUCUGUCAAAAAACAAUCUCAGAGCCGUCCUUGUAGAGUGGAGACAAGAACACUCCCACCUGAACACUACAAGAUCAAUCAUCAGUUUUUACGACGCCUGACACAACCAACUUAACUGUGUGUAGUAAAUACAACUGCUGCCUUACUAUGAGACCAAACGGCUUGUCAUAACAAAGCAAUAAUCUUAGAUAUCACUAAAUAUCAUAUUUCCAUUGUUAUUAUUAAACAUAAUAAUGGCCUGCUUUGAUAUAGUGAUAACAAUGAUUAAUGAUUAUUUGGCGUUUUACUUUUGACCUCUCACUGCUUGUACGCAUGUACAGGUUACAUGUGUGUAGCCAUGCAUAUACGUGUUCUUAUAAUAACUAAUAAUUGCUUGACAUGUGUUCCUUCAUGUUUAACAGGUGCAAUUUAAUAAGAGGACAAAAUGAAAAAAGAGAGAGUAAUCCAGCCUGCAUUGUACCAAGACUAAAAGGGAGACCGCAAUAGGCCGGAGUUAAAGGUCACAUCAAAUGUAAAGAGAGUGAGUGUGUGUGUUUGUUUGUUUAAAUGAACUAAUUAUGACUAGUCAAUUGUACUUAUCUUUACUUUGACUAGUGUUUACACACUUUGUUAUUAAUGUACUACUAUAAUCUCGUGUCUCUUUUUAUCGUGUACAUGUGUGUGUCUCAGUUUUGCGUAAUUUUAUUUAAACUGAGAUAAGCUAACAGUUUGUGUAGGAGAUCUGAAGUUUACACGACACGUCAAACUCAGACAGUUGAAGAAAGGAAAAAAUAAUGGAGGAAAGAGAAAUAUUACUACUAAUCCCUGAAUGGAACAAACAUUGAAAUUUCCUGCUGUAGUUAUGUCAGCAAAUCCUCCCAAACAUUAGCAACUAAAAUUCACUUCCUAAAUUAAAAAGUAUUCUGUUUAUGUUGAUUUGUCAUAUAAUGUAAUUUGUCAUUGUAAGUCCCUGACCAUAACCUUACCUUCCUCUCAUUAAGAUAAUGAGAUUCUCCUAUUCCUUUUAUAGAUUAUCCAGCUGUAUCUCUGUAUGUCACAUGCAAGUUUCACUUUAUUAGCUUGCUUUAAUCAAGAAGCUUUGGAUGUAUGGUUCAAAUUGCUGCGCAGCCACUACUCAUCAGCCCGUAACAAUGCAUGAAAGAAAUAGUUGUAAGGAGAGGAGGAAAGAUAUCCUAUUUCGACUCAUGAAUAAUUCAUUUUAUUCAAUCAGAGCGUUGUGUACAAGUGUAUCACAUUGCAUUGCAUCUGUGAGAAUGCUAUUAGUGAAUGAUAAACGGGAUGGCUCCUUUAAGAGACGUAUUGAGACGUGAAUGAAUGCCUGUUUUGUCUUUGGUCCUGGAGCGUGGGCGGAAAGAAGCUCGUUGUACCUGUACAAAGGGCGUAGUGUCUAGACAUUUACUCAUUCUGAGCCAUGUAACGAUAUUAGGAGCGUGUUGCCCUGGAAGUGCUCUGCAAUAAAAGAGCUAGUGGAGAUCAAUUAAAAUAAAAUAUGUACAAGUACAUGUAGUAUAUAUCUGGAGUGAGUGUGCGUGACAUUUAGUGUGGACGUAGGAGUAAUGCAGAGGAGGUAAACAUAUGAAUAAUUAGAACUGGAAUCACUAUUUUACAUGUAGAAUUGUGAGACAAUAUGUCUCCAUGGACUAGCUUUCUCUUGUUUUUCACCCUUCUUCCUCUCUCUCUCUCUUUC